CCCAUUCCAUUGUUCUUCAGAGAGAGCCAGAGAGGCGACGAGUUUUGGGGUUUCUCUCUCAAGAGGAACUGGGCAAGUAUUUUUGAAGAUGGAAGAAUUAGAAAAUUAACAAGAAAACAGAGAGACACUUUUGUACGAAAAUUUCUGUAAUUUAUUUGGCUAUAUGAUUAUCAUGUUCUUUAUUCAUACAUGGAAUGAAUCUCGAUGGAUAGUUUCAAUUAAGGGCAUUGUUCUUUGGUCGAACGGAUGAUCAUUUUGGGCUUCACUGGAUUUCUUUUGGAGAAUUUUCUGAGGGUUUCAUUUUAUGUGUGGUUCGUUUUGCAAUUUUGACAGUUGCCUCAUGGUCAUUCUAUCAAAAUCUGGACAAGAAUUUCUGAGGAUGGAUAUCAGUUCUAUUCCAGAGAAAUCGAUCGAGAAGUAAGUAAUAAUAAGAUUCUUGACCAAAAAAAUUAGGUCAGUCAUAUUUUCACGAUAAAUUUUUUAGCUAUAUGAUGAUAAAAUGGGUUUCAGACUUUCAGUGGAUUUUGUUUUUCGUAUUCUCUGAGGAUUUUCAUCGAAUCUCAAAGUGUUUGGAUUAAAAAAUUGUGUUCUCUCUUGUUUCUAUAAUUUCAUUUUCUUUG
rnacentral:lncRNA from 1 species